rnacentral:misc_RNA from 1 species
AACCUAGCACACCUGCGGUGUGUACCUGCGGAGGGAUCAUUACAGAGUUGCAAAACUCCCUAAACCAUUGUGAACGUUACCUAAACCGUUGCUUCGGCGGGCGGCCCGGGUCCUUCCCGGCGCCCAUCGGCCCUCGCGGGCGCCCGCCGGAGGUAAACCAAACUAUUGCAUUGUAUGGCCUCUCUGAGUCUUCUGUACUGAAUAAGUCAAAACUUUCAACAAUGGAUCUCAGAUCGGAAG